GGAAGGAAGACUAUCAAUCAAUAUUGUAGUAAUUGUUAUUUUAUUAUAGUAUAUUCAAUAUUGUUAUAAACAUGAUGGUGAUGGACAAAAGCAUCUGCCAAAUACCGUACCUCUAAGAGGAAUAUGUCAGGUCUGUGCCCUGUCCUUGUCCUGUUUCUUAGUUUGUGUCCCUUGUGUUGUCACGUGUUCUUUGUUCCUGUGUUUGUUUACCUUUUCUCCUCGUGUCUGACUCCUCACGCCCUGCCCUUGAUUAUCUGGCGUUCUCGUCAUUUCAUGUUACGCGUUUGUUCAUUGUGUUUUUCCCCGUGUUCCUAGCGAUAGUUAAAUAUUUCAUGUUUAUUAAGUUUCUCGUGUUUCCGACCCUGGACUGUACAUCGACUAUUCUCCUGCCUAUGCCCUGUUUUGGAUUUGUUUGCUUGCUCUCGGACUGCCUACCUGUGUACCGAAUCCUGCUAAGUAACACGAUUACCCUUCACUCUACUGCUGCGUUCUGAGUCGUGCAUUUGAGUUCACCCGCAAUUCGUAACAGAAUAUGGAUCAUGUACAAUAUCUAUUCCACUGUGCACUGUCUAUUUGACAGGAUAAGGAUCAUCUCAUCUCAUCUCAUCUCAUCUCAUCCAGAGGCUGACACCAGAACAGAUCCUGCUCUGGUCUGGUGCUAAUCUGCUGGGUCUGAGGUUCUGUUCACUCCUCUGAGGUUCUGCUCUGAGGUUCUGUUCAUUCCUGUGAGGUUCUUCUCAUUACUCUGAGGUUCUGUUCUGUUCACUCCUCUGAGGUUCUGUUCAUUCCUCUGAGGUUCUGUUCAUUCCUCUGAGGUUCUGUUCUGCUCAAUGUCAGCUCAUUCCUCUGUCCCAGAGCCUGUGAAGGAGCCCUGUGCUGCUGAUAGUGGGCUGUCUGCUGUCGCUGGGGAGAGCAACGCAAACAAUCACUUUUUUGUCUGCACCCUUCUCUUUUCUUCUCCUCCUCUUCUCUUCUCCUCCGUGAUGCCACUCUGUCUGUUCUUCUCCUCCGUGAUGCCACUCUGUCCAAUCUAAUAUCUCUUCAUCUCCAAGCUCCUCCGUGAUGCCACUCUGUCCAAUCUAAUAUCUCUUCAGCUCCAAGCUCAUGAUUCUAUUCUAUCUGAUGGGCCCAGGUAUUCUUCAGCAUUCCAAAGACACUGAUGUGACGGUACCCACGCGGGGUGGCGUGUCUGUCCUCUCUGAUGUCUUUGGUGAUGUGACGGUACCUGUUGCAGGGGUGACGUGUCUGUCCUCUCUGAUGUCUUUGGCCUGGCCUGUGUGAGAUGUGACCUGUGAAGUGUGACCUCAGAACAGCUAACAGCUAAGCUAACUUGGGGGCGAGGCACACCACGCUGCCCAGGAGGACAGGCCCAGAUGGAGGCAGGUAGUUGCGGCCUCAUGUUCCACUGGGGACGAAGAGGUUUAAGUAAGAAGGGGUCUGAGUGGUGCUGGGGACUGGACAGAGCUGGUCUCCUCUCCAUCACUCUCAUUAGGUCAGCAGUGACAAGAUGCUUGCAGUGGUGGCAGAGUGGAAGACAUGAAGGGUUGCCAAACAGUCAACACAAUGACCUACGUGAACUAAAUGCUUUUCGUCACACAUGGUGAUCUUUGGAGCAGUCCAGCCUUGGAUAGUUGGACUCUAGGCUGGGGGGUGCUGCACAGAGUCAGAGACUAACUGGGCUUGGCUGUGGGCUUUCUAGAACCUUCUGACCGGUCUGAACCGGAUGAGUCUCACUGAGGAAGUCUUUCCCAGGUGAUUGUGCCUGGAGAGAGAGCGUCCAGGAUCUACUCACACAUCUUACAUAAAUAAUUACUCACGUCAGUAGUCAUGUACUCUUUGAAACAUGUGAACACGCAAACACACACACACACACACACACAGGUGAAACAAGAUUGAUGCAUCACCUGCACAAAAUAAUGACAAGAACAUAUGGUGUCAGCUGUGCUGGCAGCGGUUUGACAGAAGCCCAAUUCAAGGCCUCUUACCUGAUUAAAACAGUUUGUUUUAUGGAUGCAUCAGUCAAAGUCCUGCGACACACCGGUGCUGGACCUUAGUGUCAGAACCAGGUAAGUGCUGCAGAAUAAUCCAUCCUGUGUGAAAGACUGAAACAGCAAAACUGCCAUCUCUGACAAAAACAUAUUCAAGCCUGUC
ensembl:lncRNA